rnacentral:rRNA from 1 species
CANCGGCGGCUCGAGUGGUAACCGUUAUUAUUGGGUCUAAAGGGUCUGUAGCCGGCCGGAUAAGUCUCUUGAGAAAUCUGGCAGCUUUACUGUCAGGCUUUCAGGAGAUACUGUCUGGCUCGAGGCCGGGAGAGGUGAGAGGUACUUCAGGGGUAGGGGUGAAAUCUUGUAAUCCUUGAAGGACCACCAGUGGCGAAGGCGUCUCACCAGAACGGACCUGACGGCAAGGGACGAAAGCUAGGGGCACGAACCGG